rnacentral:rRNA from 1 species
GAUGAACGCUGGCGGCGUGCCUAAUACAUGCAAGUCGAGCGAAUGGAUUAAGAGCUUGCUCUUAUGAAGUUAGCGGCGGACGGGUGAGUAACACGUGGGUAACCUGCCCAUAAGACUGGGAUAACUCCGGGAAACCGGGGCUAAUACCGGAUAACAUUUUGAACCGCAUGGUUCGAAAUUGAAAGGCGGCUUCGGCUGUCACUUAUGUAUGGACCCGCGUCGCAUUAGCUAGUUGGUGAGGUAACGGCUCACCAAGGAAACGAUGCGUAGCCGACCUGAGAGGGUGAUCGGCCACACUGGGACUGAGACACGGCCCAGACUCCUACGGGAGGCAGCAGUAGGGAAUCUUCCGCAAUGGACGAAAGUCUGACGGAGCAACGCCGCGUGAGUGAUGAAGGCUUUCGGGUCGUAAAACUCUGUUGUUAGGGAAGAACAAGUGCUAGUUGAAUAAGCUGGCACCUUGACGGUACCUAACCAGAAAGCCACGGCUAACUACGUGCCAGCAGCCGCAGUAA